AGUGUAUGUCCAUUUCACAAUGCAGACUACUCCGUCAUUUGCUGCAGAAGAUGUUGGCUUCUUUCCAGGAUAAUUCAUGGCUUCAGGUUUAUUGCAAAUAGCUGUAUUUGUUUGCCUCAACAAAAGAGUGAGCUGUUAGCCUCCUUUUUCCUCUGGAGAAAAUUAAAGGCAUCUGUUAUGCUUGUUUCAUCAAAUGAAGGGUCAUUUCAUCCCAUUUGGGAGAUGUGUGAGAGGUAGGAUGGGAAGACUGCAGACAAACUGACUGGAGAAACCUGGAAAGACCCAUCCUUGCAGCUGAAUAUUUGGCCAAACACAGACUGUAGGUGCAAUAAAUUUAUUUUGGGGUAAUUUAAUUUCUCUUGAAAUGUGCACAUGUGUGAUUAACUCAUGUAUAUACUGUAUAUCAUAAUGUUGCAGUCAAGUGAUUAACAUCCAUUAUGUCUGAAAUGCCUUUUGGAGUCAAGCUGAGGAACAUUCGGUCUUUGCAAGCUGCUGCUUUAACCUGCACCAGAAGAGGAGUAGGUCCCCCAAGAAAACAAAGAUAAACAGCAAACUGAAACCUCAGUCAAAACCCAUAAUCAAAUCAAACAAAUGGCAAUAAAUCUGUAUUAAAACUACAAACUGUAAGUACAAAAAGUCAUCAACAUAUGUAUUGAUUAUGGUUUGUAUUUACAGUCAUUUGUAGCUUUAAUGCAGAUUUAUAGUCAUAUUUUUGAUUUGAUUAAGGUUUUUUUUAUUGAGUUCUAAUUUGGCUCCAUCCAAAGCUUAGCACUGCAUUUGACACCACUGUGUUGGUAGUAACUUAAUCACAUGUGGUCUCUACUCCAACCAUGAGAUCCAAAUCAGCCCAGCAUCCUCAUGUUUUAUCUGCUUUUUAAGCAUUUUUUGGUUUAGUGAUCCUGGGAGACUGAAAUAUACUGUUAAUGGCAACAAGAGGUGCUCUUGUGUAGACAUACCAUGCCCAUGACAGGAGGUGAGAGCUAGGGGUGUGCACAAAACCGGUGGGCCUGGUUUGGGUCGAGUCUGAACCAGACUUGAACUGGACCACACCGGUUCCAUUUUGCACCCCCUAAAAAACCCCAGGUUUAAUUUGGGGGGGUUGGUUCAAAGUUACCCCCUCUGUGGGAGCACUGCUGUGGCCGUGGGGGGUCUCUGGAGGUUCCCCCUCCCCCAGAACCAGCCACGUAGAGGCCCAUGCAGAGGCUUCCAAAAUGACCACUACAAGGGCAGGCCUAGAACAGGCCAAAGACCACCUGAACCGCGCAAUUUCUGGCACUAAUGGAGGCCAGCGGGGGAGGGGAACCUCUGGAGACACACACACACAGCUGUGGAAGUGUCCCCCCAGUGGGGGUAAGUUGAACCCCAAACAGGUUGGUGGGUUCAACUCGAUGCCAAACUGAACUGGGUGUGUGUGUGUGUGUGUGUUUGGCUCGACAUCGAGCCAUCGAUCUGAACCAGUUCUGUGUUCUUUGCACAUCCCUAGUGAGAGUGGUGGUGAUAGGCUACUUGAUAGUUGUAAGCAUUUGAGAAUGUUGCAAGGCACAGUGUCCAGUUUACUUGCACUUUGGCAAGUAAAGGGUGCUUAUAAUCAUUUGUGUCUGCCUACUUGGAUUGCUGAUUACACAUCAGUAAGCUUUUUUUCCUGGCACUUAUCACAGCUGUAGUCCUCUGUGGGCAGAGCUGAUAUUCACAUUUCAAAGAAAGGUUAAGACUAAAGCAGGCUAAAUAUAACACAGAUUGUUCUCUUAAAAAAAAAUAAAAUAAACAAAAGGUGUUUGUGUUUUUUUAACCAGAUCAUGGGGGAUUGGCACCAACUGCUUCCUAGAUGUUAACCAGUGAUACUAAGUUUAUAAGUGAAGUUGGGAUGGCAGAAUUAUUAUUCUUAUGAGAAUAUAAUAAUUCUCAUAUUAUUCUUAUGAGAAUUUAGGAAUUCAAUUGGACUUAACAUUAGUUAUGAGAAACUUGUC